rnacentral:lncRNA from 1 species
AAAUGCUGAAUCUGACUUGCAGUACUUAAGGAAAUCUUCAGUGGGACUUCUUGGGCAACAGUCACCUGGACAGACAACACGUGUGUACUUUCUGGCAGUCAACGUGUCUGCAAUUCUGUGCUCUCUUCUGCGUGUUGUGCCUUACCCAGCCCACAGGAUGCGAGAGGCACAGAUCUGGCUUAAASUUGCCCUAAUCAAGC